rnacentral:rRNA from 1 species
UACAGAGGUCCCAAGCGUUACUGAGAUUCACUGGGUUUAAAGGGUGCGUAGGUGGCGCGUUAAGUCAGUUGUGAAAUCCCCGGGCUCAACCCGGGAAAUGCUUCUGAUACUGGCGUGCUUGAGGCCGAUAUAGGUUACUGGAACGGACGGUGGAGCGGUGAAAUGCGUAGAUAUCGUCUGGAACGCCAGUGGUGAAGACGGGUAACUGGGCCGGUUCUGACACUGAGGCACGAAAGCGUGGGUAGCGAACGGG